rnacentral:rRNA from 1 species
AUUGAACGCUGGCGGCAUGCCUUACACAUGCAAGUCGAACGGUAACAGGUCUUCGGAUGCUGACGAGUGGCGAACGGGUGAGUAAUACAUCGGAACGUGCCUAGUAGUGGGGGAUAACUACUCGAAAGAGUGGCUAAUACCGCAUGAGAUCUACGGAUGAAAGCAGGGGAUCGCAAGACCUUGUGCUACUAGAGCGGCCGAUGGCCGAUUAGGUAGUUGGUGGGAUAAAAGCUUACCAAGCCGACGAUCUGUAGCUGGUCUGAGAGGACGAUCAGCCACACUGGGACUGAGACACGGCCCAGACUCCUACGGGAGGCAGCAGUGGGGAAUGUUGGACAAUGGGCGCAAGCCUGAUCCAGCAAUGCCGCGUGCAGGAUGAAGGCCUUCGGGUUGUAAACUGCUUUUGUACGGAACGAAAAGCCCUGGGUUAAUACCCUGGGGUCAUGACGGUACCGUAAGAAUAAGCACCGGCUAACUACGUGCCAGCCGCCGCGGUAAGAC